rnacentral:tRNA from 1 species
UCUUAGAUGACUGAGGAUAAGUGUUAGACUUUUAAUCUAAUUACGGCAAUAGUAGAUUAUGCCUCUAAGAA